GCUUAAGAAAUAGAACAAAAAAAUUAAUGUCUUUUGAUAAGCUUAAGAAAAAGAACAAAAUAAAAACCAUUCCUUUUUUCAACAAAGAACCAUUGUUUUGGCAAACUAGGUUGCUCAUCUUGAAUCCCUUUUGAUAAGCAAAACAAAUAUCACAGAAAAAAAAAAAUCACAAUGGUUUAGAUACUUCAACAUAUGUGUUUUGGCAAACUAGGUUGCUCAUCUUGAAUGCCUUUUGAUAAGCAAAACAAAUAUCCCAGUAAAAAAAAAAUCACAAUGGUUUAGAUACUUCAACAUAUGUGCAUAUGCAUCUCAUAAAGAUUAAAUAUAAUUAAAAUAUAAAAAAAUGGAAAAUUAUUAAAAAAAAUCCGCAACAAUAACUCUCUAAAGAACCUAAAUUUGAA
rnacentral:lncRNA from 1 species